rnacentral:ncRNA from 1 species
AUAUUAAUUUACUUCAUUGGUGCGAAUGUCUUUAGACAUUUGCUUAAAAGGGAAAUCGGUGCAAAUCCGAUGCUGUCCCGCAACUGUAAAUGGGGAGUCUAUACAAUAUGCCACUGUAGCAAAGCUAUGGGAAGGCGUAUAGAUGAUGAACCUAAGCCAGGAUACCUGCCAAUAAGAGCAACACAUU